GUAGGUUAUGGGGAUAUGCACCCGGUGACCAUCGGGGGCAAGAUUGUGGGAUCGCUGUGUGCCAUCGCUGGUGUCCUGACAAUUGCCUUGCCGGUGCCAGUGAUUGUUUCCAAU
rfam:Monodelphis domestica chromosome 2, whole genome shotgun sequence.